rnacentral:snRNA from 1 species
UUGACUUCAGUGGUACACAUACUAAAAUUGAAAUGAUUCAGAGAAGAUUAGCAUGGCCCAUGCACAAGGAUGACAAGUACUUUUAAGAAGUGGUCCAUAUUUGU